GGGUGCUUACCAUGCAGUCGACGAUGAACCACUUCGGUGGGGAUUAGUGGCGAACGGGUGAGUAACACGUGGGCAAUCUGCCCUGCACUCUGGGACAAGCCCUGGAAACGGGGUCUAAUACCGGAUACUGAUCGCCUUGGGCAUCCUUGGUGAUCGAAAGCUCCGGCGGUGCAGGAUGAGCCCGCGGCCUAUCAGCUUGUUGGUGAGGUAAUGGCUCACCAAGGCGACGACGGGUAGCCGGCCUGAGAGGGCGACCGGCCACACUGGGACUGAGACACGGCCCAGACUCCUACGGGAGGCAGCAGUGGGGAAUAUUGCACAAUGGGCGAAAGCCUGAUGCAGCGACGCCGCGUGAGGGAUGACGGCCUUCGGGUUGUAAACCUCUUUCAGCAGGGAAGAAGCGAAAGUGACGGUACCUGCAGAAGAAGCGCCGGCUAACUACGUGCCAGCAGCCGCGGUAAUACGUAGGGCGCGAGCGUUGUCCGGAAUUAUUGGGCGUAAAGAGCUCGUAGGCGGCUUGUCGCGUCGGUUGUGAAAGCCCGGGGCUUAACCCCGGUCUGCAGUCGAUACGGGCAGGCUAGAGUUCGGUAGGGGAGAUCGGAAUUCCUGGUGUAGCGGUGAAAUGCGCAGAUAUCAGGAGGAACACCGGUGGCGAAGGCGGAUCUCUG
rnacentral:rRNA from 1 species